UGUGCAUCUAGAUGAUCUGAUGGAGUUUACACUUCAGAGGCACUGGGAAUGCCAAAGAUUUAUUUACCUCUCAUUCAUUGUAACUAAUUGAAGAGUCUGGAUGACAAUUAUCCAAAACCCACCAUCUUCCUGGAGUCUCCGUUGUUCUCUUCCAGAAUACAUGUUGAGCUUUUAAACAAACCUACAGUAGAAGCAAGCCCUCUCCAGGAAAUCCCAAUCUCUUUCCAAACAGGGACAGCAAAGGUUCUCUCUGUUGUGGCUGUUUUUCCCUCUCUUCUGGGAAUUGGUUUGCCUUCUCUGAGCAUCCCAGGAAGGGGAGGUGCGCCCCAAAUUGGCGAGGCUCU
rnacentral:lncRNA from 1 species